GGGCCCGUGGUCUAGUGGCUAUGACGUCGCCUCGACACGGCGGAGGUCAAGGGUUCAACUAUCCCAGAGGGAGACCACAAAUCCCUCAGGAUUUGGGAGUCCCUUCGGGCCCA
rnacentral:tRNA from 1 species